rnacentral:rRNA from 1 species
UACGUAGGGUGCGAGCGUUAAUCGGAAUUACUGGGCGUAAAGCGUGCGCAGGCGGUUAUAUAAGACAGAUGUGAAAUCCCCGGGCUCAACCUGGGCACUGCAUUUGUGACUGUAUAGCGAGAGUACGGUAGAGGGGGAUGGAAUUCCGCGUGGAGCAGUGACAUGCGUAGCUAUGCGGAGGAACACCGAUGGCGAAGGCAAUCCCAUGGACCUGUACUGACGCUCAUGCACGAAAUCGUGGGGAGCCAACAGGAUUAGAUACCCCUGUAGUCC